UUUACCUAUGUUUUGAUAAAACAAAUAUAUGCGCAAUCUGAGAGCGUUUCUACAUACACCGAGAAAGCAGCUGAGAAAAUAACUGACAGCAUGCUUUGACAGCGACUGACAGCAUUUUCGGUGAGAGAAUUCUCCUCGGCAUGCAAAGAACGAUAGAGCUGAGAAAAAAUGAAUUGGCAGUUUAUGGCGAACGAUCAAUUAUAGUUUACAUCAAUUAUAGAAACCGAUUGUCAAUUCUCUCACAGCCAUCUCUCACCUGCAGUCUCGGUGUAUGUAGAAACGCUCUGAGAUUGCGCAUCGGGUAUACGGUUACCGCAUAAAUAAACGACCCAAGCGGACAUUUUCGGACGAUAACUCACACACUCUCAUAAUUUGACAAGCAAUAUAUGACUAUAAGUGUGGUGCUUGUGGAAUAAUGGUUUACCACUGUCAGGCGUGAUGCUACCUGGCAUGAAUAUAAUGUUAAGUGACAGGAGGAAGGGUAUAAAGUAGGUUGCUAUGUUGAAUAAAAUCUCUCUCUGCGUUCUGAACUCUACCCCUCAAGUGUGCUGCGUUACUUUAUUGCGAUUCUGCUAACAGGCUAACAGGCCCAGGCGAAAUGGCGGACUCCCAGCGAUUUAUUGUGCAAAGGUUGACGAACCAAAACUACCAAACGUGGAGGUUUAAAAUGCAAAUGCUCCUCGAACGCGAUGAGCUGUGGUGCACAAAAAGUGAAGAAAACCCAGAGCCAGUGACGUCUGCGUGGAGCCUGUCGUGAUUUAAGGUUCUUUUUGACAUCUUUUUAUUUAAAAUAAGUUCCUUCUAAUCAAAAGGGUUCUUUAAAUUAUAUUUAGCUUGUUCUUGCUUUACGUCUGUCUUCGACUUCUCUAAACACAAGACUGACUCGUUUCCUUCUUUUGACGUUUUCUUCAUUUUCCUUGCCUGACGUUUCCUACGUUUGGGUUUUAUUUCGCCCUGAUAUUGCUAUCUCUCUCUGCUUCUCCGUUUCCAUCUCCUUCUGAUUCGCCGGCUAUUUGAAAUCUCUGUUACGUCGCAAAGCCGGUUACGUUCUUCUAUGUGAAAUUAAUUACUUUCUUGAUGUUUUUAGUACAAGUUUUACGUUCUUUCUUCUUUUGCUGCUCCUAUGCUAUUUCCAUUCUCUACAUCUUUCCCUUUCCUACUCUUUCUUCUUCUUCUUUGGCUCAAUAACCGAUGUCGGUCAAGGCCUGCCUGUACCCACUUGUGGGCUUGGCUUUCAGUGACUAAUUGAUUCCCACUCUUUACUGGUUAAUAUUAUACAAAACUGCAUUUUUAAACCUCUCUGGUAAGCGAACUUCUCGUUUUGUUCGACUAUUACUAAUGGAUUCGGCCGUUUGUGUAACAAUUUUUGGUUCAGAGUAUUCCAAUGUCUCACUAUUGCUAUGCUGUUGCCUUUCUUUUUGAUCGUCUACCUCUAGAGCACGCUUAACAUCGCUUACGUUCCUAGUUAACUUUGUCCCUCUUUCGUUCACUAGUACAACUUUUGCCCCAUCUCUGGCUAGUACAGUAUACCUUUCGUUUGAAAAUGUGGGAUCGGUUUCUGUUUUUUGUACAAUUGCUACCACCACCCUAUCGUCGACCAUUAUAUUGCUAUCUUUCGCCCCCCGAUGUUUGUCAGCAUACGUUUUGCUAACUAGUUUCGCAAACGCAUCGUCCUCUCGUACUGCCAAGCGGUCCAGCGGUUGCCUCGAUUCCCACAGGCACGGGAAAGUGCCUCGGUAACGCCAUCCCACUAACAGCUCAAAUGGUGUGAUGCCUAAACGAGAAUGGUGCUUCCUCGUGUUGUGAGUAUGGAUAUACUCAUCCAUUGCAGUCUUCCAGUGUUUUCCUUCGGCUUUAGCAGCGGUCAUGGCCUUAAUCACCCCUUGAUUUUGUCGCUCAAUAGCUCCAUUUGAUUGUGCACUCAGAGGUAAGGAUUUACGUACGCUCACCCCUUUGGACUGAUAACCGAAUUCAUUUUCUUCCUCUUCUGACCAGUAGAAGUUGUCAGAUUUUGCUAAUGAUCUUAAUUUUAUUGUUUUAUCUGCUCGAUGGGGGACGAAUCUUUCAAUGAAGUUAAUUAAGCCUAAAAAGCUUUUCACCUCCGAUAGUGUUUCGGGUCUGCGAAAAUUUGCAAUUGCCUUCUUUUUGUCCUCUUCGACUCUCCAACCGUCUCCCGAUAACUUAAAUCCGAGGAAUUUGACGGAACGGGCUGCGAAUACGCACUUCUGGUGUUAAGGCAGACAUUAUGACUACGUAAACUUUUAAGAGCUGCUUGCAAGUUCUCAUCAUGUUCUAGUUUGGAACGCCCGUAAACUAGAAUAUCGUCCAGAUAGUUUAGAACCCCCCGACAAUUCUCCAGAACUACGGUUUGAAGUAGCUCUUGAAAUAUGUCGGGUGAAUUACACAGCCCAAAUGGUAAUCUUUUGAAACGAUAUGUGCCACUUCCUCCGAGGAAGUUUGUUAGGUGGCGACAAUCCUCGUGUAAUUCAACAUGAAAGAAAGCGCUCGUAAGAUCGAUUGUAGAAAACCAGGAUGCUCCAUUUAGUUUAGCUAGAAUUGCUUCGAGCGUUGGCAUUUUGAAGGGUGUCCGUAUGAUGUUCUUGUUGGGCCCUCUUAGGCCGAAAAUACACGGACCGGAAUUUCGCGGCCGCGGAAUUCCGCCUGCGUAUAGCAGAUGUAUAACAAUCAAACUGUCACUUUUCCGCGCCGGCUAUCCCGGUUGCUGUUUCGCAAAGAUACCCACAUGCAGUAUUUCAGCGGUUUCGCGGCAGGAAAAUUCCGUUGUCAUUGCGUUAUUGUGUACGGUUUGAAAAGGUUAACAUUGUGCACUUCGAAUUCUGUUGCCUUAAAUUUGAGCAAAUCAAGACGGAAAAUGGGUAAAUAUUGCAUUUCAAAAUAUAAUUACAGGAUAAAUAACUUUGUGUUUAACUUCUAGAUAUCAAACCAGCAAAGAAAAAACGAAAGAAGACGAUCUACAUGAGUGAUGAGGUUGUGCUUGCGUUUAUCGAUUGCGUUUUUCGGCAUGAGGCGGUCUGGAACCGGCAACAUCCAGACUACCAAAAUAUUCAUCAUAGAAAUGAUGAGUGGAACGACAUCGCAGCAGAAAUGGACCAACCAAUCGAUGAACUUAAAGAGAAGUGGGCAUCGCUCCAAUCCAUUUACCGGAAGUACCGCUCAAAAUUGAACCGGAGCAUGGUAACUGGAUCUGGAGCUGAUGAAAUUGAUCACCCACGGUGGUUCGCUUUUUGGAAAAAGGUUUUUGGAUAUGGUUUGAGUUAUAUUUUUAUUUUACAUAUUAAAAAACAUGUUAAAAGGAAAUCACUCUUUUAUAGCCAAUUAGUAGUAUCU